GCUCGCUUAGUUCAACGGUUAGAAUACUAGCCUUACAUGCUAGGGAUGAUAGUUCGAUUCUAUCAGCGAGUA
rnacentral:tRNA from 1 species